rnacentral:lncRNA from 1 species
CCGGCAAGUGGUGCCCACCGACUUCGGAGAGGGCCGGGACGAGACGGGACUGGCCGAAGCCGGAGAUGUACGGCUUUAGGUCGUCGUCGAGGAGGAUCUUCGACGAUUUGAGGCUUCCGUGGACAUACUUUCUAGGGCUGCACUCAUGAAUGUGCAUCAGACCCCUUGCAGUUUCUUGAAUGAUCCUGAGCCUUGCAGCCCAGUACAGCGGAGGCGCCGAGUUCCCCACUCCGCCUGCACCAGAAAAUGAGGAAAAGCUAAGGUUAUCCUAAUCAAGAUUUCGAGUUCUACAAAACCACAUUUUGAUUAGGUGAUGCUGCAUUGUUGUCUGAACUAAGCAAGAAGAGGACAACUACAUUAAUGCAUCUGCGAAGAACAUUAACUAUGUAUCUUGCCAAGAAACCAGGGGGCUUAGCCCACUGGCCACCGGGUCCUCACUUAAGUGAAGUGACCCGGGUUCGAUCCCUCUUGGGAGCGAAUUGGAGAUUGGGGAGAUAUAAGGUGGAUUUUGGUGAAUGGAGAGAUAAGGUGGUUCUUGGAGUGGAUGGAGGAACUAACUACUAACAUCUAACAUGACUUUGCCCGAUCAAAAAAAAAAAAAAAAAAAAAAAAAAAAUAUCUUGNUAGCAAUUUUAUUACAAAUUCAAAUAUUAGAUAUUCAAACUCCAUAAAAAUCUUACGAUUUACGGGUUUAGAGAUUUCUUAUACAAUAUCUUUUAAAGAUAUCCUAUACGAUGUCAUUGUUUAAAACGUCCGAUGAAUAUACGUCGAUAUUCGACUUGCCACGUCAGCUUUAAUUUGAGCAAAAUUUGAAUUUGUGAUAUCGUAUGGGACAUCUCUAAAAGAUAGUAUCAUAUAAGAUAUCUCUAAACCUGUAAAUCGUAAGAUUUUUAUGGAGUUCGAAUAUAUAAUAUUUGAUUUUUUGAUAAAAUUGCUAUAACAUUAAAGUUCAUUGAUUUUUUAACACCUUUUAAAGUUUAUGUGCAAACCCUCAAAAUUGGUGUAUUUAGGCGCUAAUAACCCUUUAAUAUGUGAAACCACUUCUCUUUUUUAUAUUUUAUUCUUAUAAAUAUUUUUUAUUUACAAAAAAAGAAACCUUUAAUUCAAUCUCAACCACUCAUUUCAUACAAUAAUGAAACUUUUUUUUCAAUAAUCACUCAUUUUAUUAAAACAUGUGCCCAAAGAAUAUGCUUUAUUUUUUGUGAACGAAUGAAGUAUAUAUUUGAGAUAACUUUUUUUACAAAAAAGAAAAAAACUCUUUUCACUCUAAGCAAGCCUCGUUACCAUAAAUCUAAUCUUGAUACUAAUUUUCAAUCAAAUAAGUUAUAUAUUUUAGUAGAAACUUUGAGGGUGUGUUCUCUUUGAUACGAGUAAUUUUCAAUCAAAUGAGUAAUAUCGGACAUAAUUCACUAGCAAGAAUAUUUAGAGAAAGAGCAGGGACAAUUAUGAAAGCAUUGAAAUUAACAAGUAUCGUGAAACGACCAACUUCGACGGUAAAGAAAUUGUGGAAGCUUAGAAUUGAAGUGAAGGUUGAUAAAACUGAACUGAAGUGAGGUGAAAUGCGUAUAUAAACGAAAAUAAGGAUUUAAUUUGAUUGCAGAAAAAUUAAUUUUAACUUGAGCCUGUGAAUAUAAAAUAAAAUAGUAUAAUAUUUUACUUAUGUUUUAUUACUCCAUCUGUUUCACAGAAACAUGAAUAAUUUGCUAUUUUGGGAUGUCUCAUAAAAAUAUAAAUAUUUUUAUUUUCGUAUACUAUCUUUUAUUUUUUAUCUCUUUUUUCACACUUGUUCACAAAAAAACCAUCAUGGUCUACCGUUACUUUUCCUCAAUAUACUCAUUACUCUCAUAACACUUUAUAAAGUGAAACCUAUUUUCCAUUUACAAUAACUCUCAAUUAAUAUUUUUUAAGAACCGUGUCAUUUUUAAUUGUUCAUACUUUUAUGAAACGAAACGAAGAGAGUAUAAUUUUAUAUGGGCUAUAGUGAGGAAAAUGAGAGCUUUAAAUAAAAUUAUCUUUCAUCGGAACAUAUGGGUCCCAACUUUUUAGAAUUCGGCCCAGCCCAAAAGUUUCCAGUAUUGAGGUAGCAGGAACUUACAAAACAACAAGCCCCAAUCCAAAAAUAUGUGGGCCUAAUUUGUGCCUCAUCACCCAACAUGCAUGGCACUGAAUUUCCAAAAAUGUAUAUCCUCAAUUUAGGUUGCGCUUAUUUUGAUUGAAAUUUUUUGAUAAAAAAUAAUUAAUAGAAAAAAAUAAAAAAACAUUAAUUUUUUUCUCUCUUUUUAUUAUAUACGAGGAUACCAAUUUUGGAUGCAACCAACACCAAUUUCAAAUCAAUAUUUCCUCCAUCGUCGAAUUUGGGGUGCCCAAGUAUGUUACCUAAUCUUGAAUAAAAUACACUUAAUCUUAAUAUGCCAUACCGAUAUAAGAUAAAAAAUUAAAAAAUGAAAGGAGGUAAUCGUUCACUAGUACAUUCGCCCGUGCGACGCACGGCAAACAUAAUUUUACAUCAAAAUUAAACGAUGUAUUGUAUAUCGGUUAAGCGAUUAGGGGUUAAGACUUAAUGUCUAAAACCGAAGGUCUUGGGUUCGAGCCCCCUGUGGCGCAACCUUUAAAUUUCUUUAUUUAAUCAUGUUAAUUUAUCAAAAAUAAAUAAAUUAAAUGAUGUAUCAAAUAAAUAAAAAAUAAAUAUUAAAUAUAGUUAGAAUAUAAGUAAAUGUAAAUUAUUUUUCUUAAAAAAUAAAAUAAUCUACAUCAAUUACUCAGUAAAGAUCCUUAAUUUUAUUUUAUAAUUUUGAAAAGUAUCAUUUUUAAUUUUCCAUCUAUUUGAUGGAAAACUUUAUUUUCUUCCUUAAAAUUAUAGAAUAAACACAUCAUUCAAAUUAAAAGAAACGAAGAAACAAUAAAAAAAGAGUUUUCACAUCACAAUAUAUAAUUUUAAAACAUAAGCUAAUCAUGCAUAAAAUUAAUUUUUUCUAAGUUAGCUCAUUACCUAUGUCAUCUUAUUAGAAAAGCUUCAAUUGAUAAGUAGGAAAAUAAAUUAUAUUAUUAGAAUUUAUUAGAAUACUAAUAAAAGAGUUGAAUAAUUAUUUGAUACCAAAUCAAAGAUCUUGCAUUUAUCUUUAAUUUAAGAUAUAUAUAGAAUAUUUUUUAUAAAUAAAAUUUGAUUUUUUUAAAAAAAUCAUCAAAAUAUGAAAAAGAGAAUAUGAGAGAAAGAGAGAGAGAGAGAAUAGAAAAUUAAAGAAUGCGUAUGAUGAAAGAGAGGAGAGAGGAGAGAGAAAAUAUAUGAGAUUUGUUGAGUUUUAUAAAUACAAUUUGAUUGAUUAUUUAAUUAUAAUUUUGCCACAAACUGUGUUUUCAUAUAAUAAAUAGAUUUACUAUAAAUAAAAUAAAACUUAUCAUAAAAUACAUUUAUCCUAUACUUUCUUACUUUGUUGGAAAUAAGUGGAUAAAUUUUUCACAUUUAUUUAAAAUGUUGGAAAAUAUUUUCACACCAUUCUCCAAAGAUAUGGUAUUAUCAAAUAUCGAAGAGAAAAAGAGUAAAAAAGAAUUAUCUGAGAAAAAUUUUCACAUUAUUUCGGGAAAAAAAAAUCUAUCAUAAUAAAUAUGUAAAAAUGGUGAAAAAAAUACAGAAAAUAUAUAUAUUACUCCCUUCGUCCCUCAAACAUCUUUCUCUUUUUCCAUUUUGGUCCGUCUCCAAAACAUCUUCCUAACUUUUAUUGAAACUUCCCUCUCUUAGAAAGAUGUUUGAGGGACGGAGGGAGAGUAUCAUUUUUUCAUCAAAUUAAACAAUCCCUUACAGAAAAAUCCUAACUGAAGUACUACCGCACACAAAGAGAGAUCAAAUAUUGCAAUAUUUGAAGCUUUUCGUAAAUCUGAUUCUUGCAAUAAAUAACUUUAACUUACAGCAGCACAAUGCUUUUUAAGAAAAAAGAGGUGAAAAAGGGCAGCAAUAUUUGAGAAUUGAGAGAAAUAACUAUGAAAUAGUAUUUACUUUAAAAGAAGCAUAAUUUUGUACUUGCAAACUCCAAAACUGCAGCCAUUUUCCUUAUUUUACCAUAGCUUUAUAUUUAGUUCCAUGAUUCAGAAAAUGACAUUUUCAUGAACAAAUUAAUACUACCAUACAUUUAUACAUGCAGAGAUUGGGGAAAAUAUUCAUAUCCUCACAACAUUAGAAAUUAAUCAUAGAUCCUACCAAGACAAACAUAUCUUUACAACAUCACUGCAACUUGAUCCGAUCUAGGUUGUCAGAAACCGUCCUCAUCUUCGGCCGGAGCUCUGGAUCGCGCUCCGUACAGUUUAGGGAAACGUGAAAUGCAGCAACAACCUGCUUCUUGGCACGAGCCUCAUGCAAGAGCGCAGGGUCUAUGAUCUCCGACAACGGCCUCUCUUCCCGGAAAACCCUUCUCACCCGGCUCUCGAGCCCCUCCUCUCCAUCAUUGUUGGGGGCUCGGCCCGUCAGGAUCUCCAUGACCAAGAUCCCGAACGCGUAGACAUCGCACUUUUGGUUGACUUUGACCCCCGUGCCCCGAGCUUCUGGGGCCACGCACAUGAUGUUUGUUGAGGCUGGAGUUUUGGGAGUUACCAGGUUAGGUUUCCGGCAAGUGGUGCCCACCGACUUCGAGAGGGCCGGGACGAGACGGGACUGGCCGAAGCCGGAGAUGUACGGCUUUAGGUCGUCGUCGAGGAGGAUCUUCGACGAUUUGAGGCUUCCGUGGACAUACUUUCUAGGGCUGCACUCAUGAAUGUGCAUCAGACCCCUUGCAGUUUCUUGAAUGAUCCUGAGCCUUGCAGCCCAGUACAGCGGAGGCGCCGAGUUCCC